AGUGAACGCUGGCGGCGUGCCUAAUACAUGCAAGUCGAACGGAGUGGCGCACGGGUGGGUAGUGUAUUGCUAAUCUGCCCUGCACUCGAGGCCACCAGGUGGGAAAGGCUGCUAAUACUCUAUCUUGUAGGAUGGGUCUAUAUUGUAUCAGCUAGUUGGUGAGGUAAUGGCGCACCGAGGGUAUGACGCAUAACUGGUCUGAGAGGAUGAGCAGUCAAACUGGAACUGAGACACCGUCCAGACUCCUACGGGAGGGAGCAGUAGGGUAUAUUGCUCAAUGGGGGAAACCGUGAAGGAGCAUCGCCGCGUGGAGGAUGACACUUUGCGGAGCGUAAACUCCUUUUGAUAGGGAAGCGGUACCUAACGAAUAAGCAACGGCUAACUCCGUGCCAGCCGCCGCGGUAAUUC
rnacentral:rRNA from 1 species